GGAGAAAUUGGACAGUGGUAGAAAGGUGAUAACCUCUAUGAAUGAUUUGAAGACCCCACUUUUAGAAAUCAAGAAUGUUCUAUUAAGAAGCGACGAGUUCUCCGUGUAUGUUCAGACUUAUGAAUAUUGUUCAAAGGACCCACAACAAUGUAAGGUUUUGAAGGCUUCUAUUCAAACUCUCAUGAACCAAGGAUUAUUAAUAAUUG
rnacentral:lncRNA from 1 species